AGAAAUCGACCAAAUCCAAAGCUAACAGAAUGAGCAAAGAAAAAAAGAGAAGAGAUGGAAAAAGGGCAUCAAGAAAAACGGGAGAUGAUGAGGAAUCUGAAGAAAAUAAUGAAAGGGUGGAUGAUGUGUCCGUUCGUGAUAAAUUAUCCUCUAAUGACGAGAAUAAGAAGGCUGGCAAACAAAGACGAGAAAGAAAAAGAAAAACAAAAAAGAGAAAAAAGGUAA